rnacentral:rRNA from 1 species
GACGAACGCUGGCGGCGUGCCUAAUACAUGCAAGUCGAACGCUUCUUUCCUCCCUUGUUCUUGCACUCCAUUGGCGAGCGGGGUGGCGGAACGUUGAGUAACACGUCGGUAACCUACCCAUCAGCGUGGGAUCACCCUUGGAAACAGGUGCUAAUACCGCAUAACAUUUUAUUCCGCAUGGCAUAAUUGUGAACGGCGCUUUCGUCUCUCGCUGUUGGCUGGAUCCGCGGUGCAUUAGCUAGCUGGUGAGGUAACGGCUCACCACGUCAACGAUGCAUAGCCGACCGGAGAGGGUGAUCGGCCACACGGGGACUGAGACACGGACCAGACGCCUACGGGAGGCAGCAGUAGGGAAUCGUCGGCAAUGGACGAAAGUCUGACCGAGCAACGCCGCGUGAGUGAAGAAGGUGUUCGGAUCGUAAAACUCUGUUGUUAGAGAAGAACAAGGACGUUAGUAACUGAACGUAACCUGACGGUACCUAACCAGAAAGCCACGGCUAACUACGUG